GGAAGAGAGAGACUCGGUGACUUGCUGGGGACAGCCCCGUCAGCAGUUGGCAGCCUUGUCUCCCGUACGCCUUGAGCUCAGAUGCCUGGAAAAUUGCCUUGUGCCUUUGUGCUCUGGACAGCCAAAGUUCUCAAGUGUUGAACAAGCAAGCAGUGCUGACUGCCUUUUCUCCCUUCCCUGGGGAUGCUGAACAUCUAAGGCUGGUAGUGCUGGCUGUCCCCUCCCAGGAGACCCAAAACUCUGCCUUUGAGCUGACUGACAAGCUGCAAAUUCAGCAAAGGUGCCUGUGGGCUACAGGCCUGAGCCUUAAUGAGUCAAGUCCUGCUUGUGGCUCCUGUGAACCUUCAAGCACAACUUCUCUCUCUCCUGGAACUGAGCUACUUUGUGUACUUUGAAGCCCCCAAAUGCAGUUGUGGGGCCUCUUGAUCAGGGAGUUAACAGGUCCAAGUUAAUCCUGGCUCCCCAUCAGUGGAAAAUGAGGAAUAGUGCAAAGACUUUUUCUCAAUGUUCCUUAGUUUCACCAUCUGUAAACAGAGGGCUGGAUCAGACAAAUCCCAUAUCCUCCGCCCCCCACAGCAAAAUCUUACAUCCAGAUGAAGUGUGUCCUGUCCUCUGAGCAUCUUUUUGCUGCAUCUUUGCAAUGAAGAUUGUAAAUGUCGGAGUGAACGUAGAAGGAAAUGUCUGAAACAGCAGAACAGACUGGGAUGUGGAGAGGCUGGCAAGAAGGAAUGUAAGCAGAGUCAGAGACGAGGACCUCAGAAUUCUAGUCCUGGUUCAUUGCCCUAAUACCUUUUCCCUUCUUCCUUGUGGAACAAGGUACCUUCAUCUGAGCAAGAACUGAAGGGAACCCUAAAGGGAAAAGUCUGAACUUUCCCAGGUUCCAGGUGCUAUCCCCCUAAUUAUAAUAAUGAUUAAUACUGGAAUCUUGCCUUGGCCUUGGUGGGCACACCCCUGACUGGUCCUGCUCUGGGCCCUGAGAGGCAGGGCUCCACCCCUGCUUGUGCAAUGUGCCUACACAACCCCAGGGAGCAAGAUUCACAUUCAUUGUCAUCCUAAGUUUAUAUCACCAUUAUAAGAAUUUUCCAGCAGAUGGCCAUAAAGUGUCUUGAGAAAGCAGUGCCCGUUUUCUCUUUGCAACUUGCACAAGGUCGCCAUAUUGGCUAUCAAGGGGUCUGUUAGACUGCAUCUCCUUUUGCUGCCACCCUCCAGGCCAGGCCUCUUCCCCUCUGCUCUCUAGCCUUCCCUGAGCCUCCUCCUUCCGGGUCCCUUGCCACAUCAUCCUUCCUUCUCCCUCACCCUCACACUUGGCGUGCCUCUGAGAUUUCCCCUUAGUCGUUGAAGGAAUCCGAGAGGUAAAAUCGAGCGCCGCAGGAGAAGGCACACAGCUACAAGCUGGAAAGGGCUUCGGGUCUCAGUUUUGCCCUGAGUGUUUUGGGACAUGAUGUGUGGAGUAACAUCCCUGGUAGUUUUCAUGGAUGACCUCUCCUGUUUCUGAAUUCUUAAGCUGCACUUCUCCUUCCCCAUCCAUUCUCUCUUGUCAAAUAUUCCUGGGGUCAAAGAGCCUUAGUCUCCUCUUCCUUCCAAAAGAAAUGCCCUAUCCUCGGUAUACAUUGCUAUACCUCUCGCCCUGACUCCAGAAUCUUCAGUGGUAAGUCUUAACGCCAGGCCUAUGAAUCUAGAAGUCUCAGGUGAGAUUGCUGAUGGAAAGAAGAGGCACCAGGCUCUAUCUCCCUAGAAAUUUGGUCCUCCGGGGAGGAUAUGAGCCAAGAAAUUCUUAGAAACAAAGCCACACUAACCACUAACCACAUUAACCCCACAUAGGAGGGAUAUUACUUUUAGAAUGGGUACCCUGAGGCCUGAGGAUAUGAGGCUCUUGGAUCCUGGUGUGCCCUGAUGUAUUGCGCCUUUUGCCUUCAAGAAGAAGCUCAUCUUUUGGAAGGCGCCUGUAGCUAGAAUCUGGAGAGUUGGAGUUCGAGCUCUGCCUCUGCUGUUUUCUACCUGUGCCACCUUUGGUAGUAAAAUGCAUUUUGACUGUAUGAAUGUCUUCUUUUGAGAAAUGUCUGUUCAUGUCCUUUGCCCACUUUUUGAUGGGAGUUUGUGUCCUUUGUAGGGACAUGGAUGCAGCUGGAAACCAUCAUUCUUAGCAAACUAUCACAAGAACAGAAAACCAAACACCGCAUGUUCUCACUCAUAGGUGGGAACUGAACAAUGAGAUCACUUGGACUCAGGAAGGGGAACAUCACACACCGGGGCCUAUCAUGGGGAGGGGGGAGGGGGGAGGGAUUGCAUUGGGAGUUAUACCUGAUGUAAAUGACGAGUUGAUGGGUGCAGCACACCAACAAGGCACAAGUAUACAUAUGUAACAAACCUGCACGUUAUGCACAUGUACCCUACAACUUAAAGUAUAAUAAUAAUAAAUAAAUUUAAAAAAAUGCAUUUUGAACCUCAGAUCUGUUGUCUGUAAAAUGGGAUUAGAGUAUUUAUCUUGCUUCUAGAACUGGAUUUUUUUGAGGCCAAACUCAAAAAACAAACAAACAAUAAAAGCAUGAGAGAGAGUUUUGAGGAUUGUGAAAAUAUGAGGUGGAAGAUGGUAUACACAUGGCCGGAGUUUUUAGCCUGUCCCCUUCUCUUUCUCUCAGGCGGCAAUGAGGUUUUGAGGCCUGGCAGUUUUAGGUGGACUAUCUCCACCAAGGAUAAAUAAACAUUAUUUAUGUCUGGUGAUUUACUUUCACAUCCAUCUUUUUUCCUCCAGCAUUUGGUAUCCUGCUAAACAUCAAGCUUGUUAUGAAGAAAUGAGGUCAGCAGGCUGGGCGCGGUGGCUCACGCCUGUAAUCCCAGCACUUUGGGAGGCCGAGGCGGGUGGAUCACAAGGUCAGGAGAUCCGAGACCACGGUGAAACCCCGUCUCUACUAAAAAUACAAAAAAAUUAGCCGGGCGCGGUGGUGGGCGCCUGUAGUCCCAGCUACUCGGGAGGCUGAGGCAGGAGAAUGGCGUGAACCCGGGAGGUGGAGCUUGCAGUGAGCCGAGAUCGCGCCACUGCACUCCAGCCUGGGCAACAGAGCGAGACUCCAUCUCAAAAAAAAAAAAAAAAAAAAAAAAAGAAAUGAGGUCAGCACACAAAGGGAAUGCCCACUGGAGAAACUCACCACUCCAGUUGGAGCUGACUGGACCAAUUCUUGACCAGUGAAAAGAUAAAUCCGGUGUAAGGUGCAAGCACCUGCUUUUAACAUUAUGUCACUGUGGUUUUAGCUGCUGCUCACAGGUGACUAUUGCCUUUCAAGUCUUCCUUCCUUUUUUUUUUUUUUUUUUUUGAGACAGAGUCUUGCUCUGUCGCCCAGGCUGGAGCGCAGUGGCCGGAUCUCGGCUCACUGCAAGCUCCGCCUCCCGGGUUUACGCCAUUCUCCUGCCUCAGCCUCCCGAGUAGCUGGGACUACAGGCGCCCGCCACCUCGCCCGGCUAGUUUUUUGUAUUUUUUAGUAGAGACGGGGUUUCACUGUGUUAGCCAGGAUGGUCUCGAUCUCCUGACCUCGUGAUCCGCCCGUCUCGGCCUCCCAAAGUGCUGGGAUUACAGGCUUGAGCCACCGCGCCCGGCCAAGUCUUCCUUCCUUGUACUAGUUAAUUCUCACAGGCCAGACCUGUAAUUGAGGGAUGAGAUUUACACAUUGCAGCCCCGGCUUUCCUUCUCUGCUUUCCACUCCAACUAGGUUCCCAAGACUGAAUCUACAGAUGAUCCCUUUUCCCAGAUCCAGAGCUGAACCCUAAUGAAGCCACACAUCUCACCUCGCGGUGGUGCACCUCUGCAGGGAGGCUGUCUCUGCAGGACGGAACCCCUUCCCUCUCAAGAAGUGUCAGGAGCCCAGACCCAUCACAAGGUGACCCCACUUGGGGGUAGUUCAGGGAUCUGCCUGAACCACUUCCUUUGAUUUUCCACAAGGUCACUUGCAAAACAGAACUGACUCAGAAAAGAAAGUCUUCGGUAUUUUGAAUCCAUUGAUACACAGGUGAAACAAAUCAGUUUGCAUUUUCCCUAUACUUUCAACACUUUGUUUCUGAAUAAUAAUAAAAAAAGUCCCUGAAGCAAAUACUAUUUUGAGCCUAAUUUCUGGAGGCUCCUAGCAGGC
rnacentral:lncRNA from 1 species